UGGAUGAGAGCACUCUGGCUAGCCAAGAAGACCUGCCCAUGCAGCCACAUUGCAUCCAUCAUCUAUGCCGCAAAAAUUCACCUUGUGCAAUCUCCAUGGCUGGAGGAAUUGCCAACAGAGGGCAUGCAUAGGCAAGUCAUUCUUGGCUAGCAAAAGGGGGCUCUCCAUCU
rfam:Sorghum bicolor cultivar BTx623 chromosome 5, whole genome shotgun sequence.